UAAUAAUAAUAUUUUUUACAAGAAAACAAAUGAAAGAAAAUAAUAAGAAAAGAGUAAAAUGAAAAACAAAUGGGCCUUGGACAAAAAACAGCCCAUUAGGAGCGCUGCCAAAGCAAAGUAGGGAGGUGGGUUGAGGAAAAAGUCACCUAAGACCAGAAACAAAAGACCCACAGACCCAUGAGGGAGUCCAAUGGACCUCCAGUCAACUCAAUGACUGGGAGACGGGCUAGGAUCGUCAGAUCCGUAGAUCUGACUUUGGUCAAAUGAAACGGAUGGAUUGAUCAAAAAGUCACACCAAGCGCUAUGGUGGGGAAUCCACACGGGAUCCCUGGUUUACCAGAGGUCAACCCUACGUGUGGCAACAUGCAGAAUGGCCACUUGGCCUUCAUGCACCUAUGGCCAACCAACAUAUAAAAACCACUUUGUGUGAGAGAGAGAGAGAGAGUUCAUUUGUCAAACUAUAAUCUCUCUUUUCACUUUAGAGCUCCCUCUCGCUUUGCAAGUGUUCAACAGUGCCGAUCAGGACCCACCGGAGAAGACGGUGGUGGCCGGCCGCCGCCGCCGCCAUCUUCUUCUCCGGCCAAACACCACCGUAAAAACCCAAACCACAAACACUAACCCCCUCUCAUUUUUCCCUACAAUCCAAAUCCGAGCUUGUUUUUCCUAUAAUCCUAACCCAACAUCCAGAUUGACACACCAAGUUACGAAAACCAAAGAUGCACAAAUCCAAAACCUCUCACUACUAAAUAAACAACGUCAACACCCUCUAAUGCAUAAAGGCUUCAACGAAAGAAAAAGAAACAAAUGGAAACCCUAAUAUUCAAAUUAGGCUUCACACAACAAAGAAAUGACGUAAUUAGCAUGGGGUUUUGGUCUAAAUCAAACAGAGAAGUUGCUAGUACACAAGAAUUGAAGAAAAGAGUAAGAACUCACCCAAUCGGAGCUAAUCCAAGGAAAUCUCCAGCGAAACAGAUGAGUCUUUUCCAAGGGUUUUGUGUUUAGAACUUUGUUGUUGUUUGGUUUCAUGUUAGGUUUAGCUAGAAUUAUCUUAGAGUUUCAAUGAGAAACUCUGAGUAAUUUGUUAGUUUUGAGCUUUAGUGAGGUUUUGGAAUUGGGUCUGGUAGCAUUUUUGUAGCGUAACGGCAAGGUUUUUUUUUUGUUGCUUACAAUACCUCUCCUCCUCUAUUUAUAGGAGAGUCCUUCUCCACUCAAAUUUAGGGCCAGGUUCUCUUAGAUUUGGUGAGUUGUGUUAGGAUCAAUUUGUUGGAGGAUUUCAUCCACCCCCGAUUUCGUGGGAUUCCGUUUGUGAGCGUCCAGAUUUGAGCGGUACUACCACCUUAUAAUGGAAGUCCGUACACUACUCGUUCUGUGGUCCCCUGGGUCAUGAUGGUAAGGAGCAUCCAGGCGAGGAAUAAAACCUAACGUACUUGGUUCAAAAAAGGAAUUUUGGAUUAGCGUAAAUGAGGAAGAUUUGAAUAUUAUGGGCUACUUUACAUUGUAUUGUAGUUUGGGCAUUAUAGUCCCAUGUAUUAAUUAUGGCUUAUGAGUACAGUUGUAACUUUAUGUCUUUAACAAUGGAAGUUAGAACAAUUAUGUACGUAAAAAAAUUUGUAACUCCAAGUCAAAUGAUCUUUAAUCAAAUGGUAUUAUUAUGAAGUUCAUACGAAAA